ensembl:snRNA U1 U1 spliceosomal RNA
CCAGGGAGACACCGUGGUCACAAAGGCAGGUUUCCCAGGGCGAGGCUGAUCCAUUGCACUCCGGACGUGCUGACCCCUGUGAUUCCCCCAAAUGUGGGAGACUCCAUUGG